rnacentral:rRNA from 1 species
UACGGAGGGGGCUAGCGUUGUUCGGAAUUACUGGGCGUAAAGCGCACGUAGGCGGAUCAGCAAGUUAGGGGUGAAAUCCCGGGGCUCAACCCCGGAACUGCCUUUAAAACUGUUGGUCUGGAGGUCGAGAGAGGUGAGUGGAAUUCCGAGUGUAGAGGUGAAAUUUGUAGAUAUUCGGAGGAACACCAGUGGCGAAGGCGGCUCACUGGCUCGAUACUGACGCUGAGGUGCGAAAGCGUGGGGAGCAAACAGG